GCCACACCCGGAGAGUGCAGCAGCAAAGGGGAAAUGAGUUAUGCAGAAACUAGUUAGUAAAAAGACUCACAAAAGCCAUAAAUGGAAAACGGAACAGGUAUCCUCAUUUCUUCAUUGGAUUUCCUUUCCCGAGACUUGGGAGUGUCUCGUUACCUGACUGCACGGAGCCUCGUCUUCAUCCCGUACAGCGACUCAGCGGACAUCAAGAAUGCCGGCUCCCAAUUUCUCAUCUCUACUUCUUCUUCCCCCAUACUACCUCCUAUCAUGCCUAUCCCCCC